UUCACUACUCUGAAAGCCAAAGACGAAGAGAGGAAGGCAGCUACAAAGCAGCAGAUAAGAAAGAGAUUUAGGCAACUGGAUUCGAACCGAUGACUUUCUUAGCCUAUUCCCAAAGGGCGAACUUAUCAACUUGCAUGUGUUAAAGCAUAUGACUGAAGUAGCAUGGUUAGACCUUCAUAUCACUUUUCGACUAGCUAUAAACUUCAACCCGGG
rnacentral:lncRNA from 1 species